UGCUGAGAAAGCUAGUGGCCGCUGCGCACCGAAGUUUGCAAAGACGGGUUCCCCGAGGUGCACACUGCUGACGGUUAUAAAACAAACCAGCACUUCCAAUACGAUGUUGAACAAAAGUACCAAAAGUGAGCAUCCUCGUCUGUUCCUGCUUUUAGAGAAACAGCUUUCAGCUUUUCACCAUUGAGUAUGAUGUUAGCUGUGGGCUUGUCAUAUAUGGCCUUUAUAAUGUUGAGGUUCCCAUCUAGGAUACAACAUUACAUUUAGUCAUCAUGUCUUCUUAGGCUCCUCUUGGCUGUGACUGUUUCUGAGGUUUUCCUUGUUUUUGAUGACCUUGAAAGUUUUGAUAGUACUGGGUAGGUAUUUUGCAGAAUGUCCCUCAAUUGGGGUUUGUCUGAUGUUUUUCUCAUAAGUACAACCUAAGAUCCCCUCCUCAAAUUGACUUGGAUGAGCACGGAGGAGUGGCCUCCUGAUGCUCAGGAUGGGGAGAGGCUAUCUCUCCUCUUGAUUCCCCAGAAAGGGAGGUGAAGUAUUAAGUUAGCAAACUUCAAAAAGACCGUUUGAAAGGAAGGUCGAUAACCAAUUCUGAGAGUUCAUGGUGUUCAUAAACAUUCAUAAGGGGUUACAGUACUUAUGCUGGGGAAUAUAAUAUUAAACAUCUCAUUGUUGGUUAAGAUUUAUUUUAGAGCACAGGACACGAAGUUCUGUUGGUUAUAGUGGG
rnacentral:lncRNA from 1 species